GGAUUAGAUACCCCGGUAGUCCAUACCGUAAACGAUGGGUGCUAGUUGUUAAGAGGUUUCCGCCUCCUAGUGACGUAGCAAACGCAUUAAGCACCCCGCCUGAGGAGUACGGCCGCAAGGCUAAAACUUAAAGGAAUUGACGGGGACCCGCACAAGCGGUGGAGCAUGUGGUUUAAUUCGAAGAUACGCGAAAAACCUUACCAGGUCUUGACAUACCAAUGAUCGCUUUUGUAAUGAAAGCUUUUCUUCGGAACAUUGGAUACAGGUGGUGCAUGGUCGUCGUCAGCUCGUGUCGUGAGAUGUUGGGUUAAGUCCCGCAACGAGCGCAACCCUUGUUAUUAGUUGCCAGCAUUUAGUUGGGCACUCUAAUGAGACUGCCGGUGAUAAACCGGAGGAAGGUGGGGACGACGUCAGAUCAUCAUGCCCCUUAUGACCUGGGCAACACACGUGCUACAAUGGGAAGUACAACGAGUCGCAAACCGGCGACGGUAAGCUAAUCUCUUAAAACUUCUCUCAGUUCGGACUGGAGUCUGCAACUCGACUCCACGAAGGCGGAAUCGCUAGUAAUCGCGAAUCAGCAUGUCGCGGUGAAUACGUUCCCGGGUCUUGUACACACCGCCCGUCAAAUCAUGGGAGUCGGAAGUACCCAAAGUCGCUUGGCUAACUUUUAGAGGCCGGUGCCUAAGGUAAAAUCGAUGACUGGGAUUAAGUCGUAACAAGGUAGCCGUAGGAGAACCUGCGGCUGGAUCACCUCCUUUCUAAGG
rnacentral:rRNA from 1 species